rnacentral:rRNA from 1 species
AUAGCUGGUUUCUCAAGAAAAGAAUUUCAGUUCCACCUAAAAUAAUUAAAAUCCAUAUAAAUUACACCUUAUUUUAGAGCAAUUCAAAUAAGGUACAGCCUAUUUGAUACAGGACUCAACCUUAACAAACGGGUAACAAUUAUUCCACACGCCCUAGUGGGCCUAAAAGCAGCCAUCUAAUUAAAAGCGUUAAAGCUUAACCGUGUUAAUUUUAAUCCGUAACCUAUUAUUGACCCCUUCAUUACUACUGAGAACUUCUAUAAAAUAUAGAAUCUUUUAUGCUAAUACUAGUAACAAGAGGAAGCCUCCUCUCUAAGAUGUAAAUAAAAGCCAGAAAGAACCUUUCACUGGCACUCAACAGGUAAAAAUAGUAACUAUCACUAGAAAAUUCUAUUUCACUCACUGUUAACCUAACACCAGAACAUCUCAAGAAAGAUUAAAAGAAAAAGAAGGAACUCGGCAAACAUUAACCCCGCCUGUUUACCAAAAACAUCGCCUCUUGCUCCUAUAAGAGGCCCAGCCUGCCCGGUGACUCUUGUUUAACGGCCGCGGAACCCUAACCGUGCGAAGGUAGCGUAAUCACUUGUUCUAUAAAUGAGGACUAGUAUGAAAGGCUUCACGAGGGUUAAACUGUCUCCUUUUUCUAAUCAGUAAACCUAAUCUCCCCGUGAAGAAGCGGGGAUAACCAUAUAAGACGAGAAGACCCCAUGGAGCUUUAAACACUUCUACACCGUCACACCACUUCUCCAGUAAUCACCACGUGACAUCCUGUUUAAAUGUUUUUGGUUGGGGUGACCGCGGGGAAUAACCUAUCCCCCGCGAUGAAAGGGUAUAGCCCUAAACUACAAACCACAACUUUAAGUAUCAGUAAACUGACAUUUUUUGACCCAAUUCUUUGAUCAACGAAACAAGUUACCCUGGGGAUAACAGCGCAAUCCACCUUAAGAGCCCUUAUCGACAGGUGGGCUUACGACCUCGAUGUUGGAUCAGGGUGUCCUAGUGGUGCAGCCGCUACUAAAGGUUCGUUUGUUCAACGAUUAAAACCCUACGUGAUCUGAGUUCAGACCGGAGCAAUCCAGGUCAGUUUCUAUCUAUAAUAGAGCUUUUUUCAGUACGAAAGGAUCAAAACAGCAUGGCCUCUAUUUAUACAAGCCAUAGUUAAUUAUUUUAGACCAACUCUUAAAAAAUUAUUAACCUUUUCAAAACUCUUCUGUUAGUGUAGCAUACUUUGGCUUUGCAAAAGAUCUAAGUCCUUUUUAUAGGGGUUCAAAUCCUCUCGCUA